AAGGAUCAUUGUCGUAACCUGCGAGGUAGACCGCGAACACGUGCUAAACGUCGCCGCGUGCACGGGGAGGGAGGACGUGUCCCCCCGCAUCCGUGCUCUCGGCACCACCCCGUCGGCGCGUGCGUCGUGCGGGCUAACGAACCCCGGCGCGGAAUGCGCCAAGGAAAACCGAAAACGAAGCGCCCUCCACCGCUCGAGCACCGUCCGCGGAGCGCUUCGAGCGGAUGGAAGGGUACGCCUCACGUGAGAAUGUCAAAACGACUCUCGGCAACGGAUAUCUAGGCUCUCGCAUCGAUGAAGAACGCAGCGUAGCCAGCAUCAAUGUGGAAGUAAAAGUCGUAACAAG
rnacentral:misc_RNA from 1 species